rnacentral:rRNA from 1 species
CAACUCGCCUGCAUGAAGUUGGAAUUGCUAGUAAUCGCGGAUCAGCAUGCCGCGGUGAAUACGUUCCCGGGCCUUGUACACACCGCCCGUCACACCAUGGGAGCCGGUAAUACCCGAAGUCAGUAGUCCAACCUCGUGAGGACGCUGCCGAAGGUAGGAUUGGCGACUGGGGUGAAGUCGUAACAAGGUAGC